UGGGGAAUUGUUCACAAUGGGCGCAAGCCUGAUGACGCAACGCCGCGUGGGGGAUGAAGGUCUUCGGAUCGUAAACCCCUGUCGAAUGGGACGAAAGACUCGCGAGUGAAUACUUCGCGAGAGUGACGGUACCGUUAAAGGAAGCCACGGCUAACUACGUGCCAGCAGCCGCGGUAAUACGUAGGUGGCAAGCGUUGUCCGGAUUUAUUGGGUUUAAAGGGUGCGUAGGUGGCCCUGUAAGUCAGUGGUGAAAUAUCUCAGCUUAACUGAGAGGGUGCCAUUGAUACUGCAGGGCUUGAGUACAGAUGAGGUAGGCGGAAUUGACGGUGUAGCGGUGAAAUGCAUAGAUAUCGUCAAGAACACCGAUAGCGAAGGCAGCUUACCAAGCUGUAACUGACACUGAGGCACGAAAGUGUGGGGAUCAAACAGGAUUAGAUACCCUUGUAGUCCCUGAGCGGGCUGGCAAGGCGCAU
rnacentral:rRNA from 1 species